rnacentral:rRNA from 1 species
GAUGAACGCUGGCGGCGUGCCUAAUACAUGCAAGUCGAGCGAACGGACGAGAAGCUUGCUUCUCUGAUGUUAGCGGCGGACGGGUGAGUAACACGUGGAUAACCUACCUAUAAGACUGGGAUAACUUCGGGAAACCGGAGCUAAUACCGGAUGAUAUUUUGAACCGCAUGGUUCAAAAGUGAAAGACGGUCUUGCUGUCACUUAUAGAUGGAUCCGCGCUGCAUUAGCUAGUUGGUAAGGUAACGGCUUACCAAGGCAACGAUGCAUAGCCGACCUGAGAGGGUGAUCGGCCACACUGGAACUGAGACACGGUCCAGACUCCUACGGGAGGCAGCAGUAGGGAAUCUUCCGCAAUGGGCGAAAGCCUGACGGAGCAACGCCGCGUGAGUGAUGAAGGUCUUCGGAUCGUAAAACUCUGUUAGUAGGGAAGAACAUAUGCGUAAGUAACUGUGCACAUCUUGACGGUACCUAAUCAGAAAGCCACGGCUAACUACGUG